UCCUAACUAGCCUAGUAUGGAUAGGGUGUCGGACUUCUAAUCCGAAAGUCGCAGGUUCAAAUCCUGCUAGGUC
rnacentral:tRNA from 1 species